UACGGGGGGGGCAAGCGUUGUUCGGAAUUACUGGGCGUAAAGGGCUCGUAGGUGGCCAACUAAGUCAGACGUGAAAUCCCUCAGCUUAACUGGGGAACUGCAUCCGAUACUGGAUGGCUUGAAUCCGGGAGAGGGAUGCAGAAUUCCAGGUGUAGCGGUGAAAUGCGUAGAUAUCUGGAGGAAUACCGGUGGCGAAGGCGGCAUCCUGGACCGGCAUUGACGCUGAGGAGCGAAAGCUAGGGGAGCAAACGGG
rnacentral:rRNA from 1 species